GGAUAUUCGACGGAGGCACCCAGGAACUACCGUUGAAGCUCGCACGACGGCCUGGGGUCGAGUAUCCCGGUAUUUGUCGCGAGCACUGAGGAACUACUGCUGAAGCCUCCACGGCAGCCUCAGGACAAGUACCG
rnacentral:misc_RNA from 1 species